UACGUAAGGGGCAAGCGUUGUCCGGAAUCACUGGGCGUAAAGCGCACGUAGGCGGCUUAGUAAGUCAGGGGUGCAAGCUCCAGGCCUAACCUGGAAACUGCCUCUGAAACUGCUUCGCUUGAGUAUCAGAGGGGAAACUGGAAUUCACGGUGUAGCGGUGAAAUGCGUAGAUAUCGUGGAGAACACCCGUGGCGAAGGCGGGUUUCUGGCUGAUUACUGACGCUGGAGGUGCGAAAGCUAGGGGAGCGAACGGG
rnacentral:rRNA from 1 species